GGAAGUAAACGUCGUAACAAGGUCUCCGUAGGUGAACCUGCGGAGGGAUCAUUACAGAGUUCAUGCCCUACCGGGUAGAUCUCCCACCCUAUGUUAUUAUUACUUUGUUGCUUUGGCGGGCCGUUAGGCUCCGGCCCGACUACCGGCCCCGGCUGGUAAGCGCCCGCCAGAGGACCCAAAACCCUGAAUAUUAGUGUCGUCUGAGUACUAUAUAAUAGUUAAAACUUUCAACAACGGAUCUCUUGGUUCUG
rnacentral:misc_RNA from 1 species